UAAACGGAUGCGAUGACGAUCGGCUGGA
rnacentral:sRNA from 1 species